UGCGUAGGGGGCAAGCGUUGUCCGGAAUCAUUGGGCGUAAAGCGCGUGUAGGCGGCUCGGUAAGUCUGCUGUGAAAGUCCAGGGCUCAACCCUGGGAUGCCGGUGGAUACUGUCGAGCUCGAGUCCGGAAGAGGCGAGUGGAAUUCCUGGUGUAGCGGUGAAAUGCGCAGAUAUCAGGAGGAACACCGAUGGCGAAGGCAGCUCGCUGGGACGGUACUGACGCUGAGGCGCGAAAGCGUGGGGAGCAAACAGG
rnacentral:rRNA from 1 species